rnacentral:rRNA from 1 species
UAACGAGCGCAACCCUCGCUGUGUGUUACAAGUGUCACACGGAACUGCCGGUCAUAAACCGGAGGAAGUGGGGAUGACGUCAAGUCAGCAUGGCCUUUAUAUCCUGGGCUACACACACGCUACAAUGGGAAGGGACAAUAGGUUGCGAAGCCGCGAGGUGGAGCCAAUCCAGCAAAACUUCCCUCAGUUCAGAUUGCAGGCUGCAACUCGCCUGCAUGAAGUUGGAGUUGCUAGUAAACGCAGGUCAGCCAUACUGCGUUGAAUACGUUCCCGGGGCUU